GAUGAAGGAACGUAGCGAAAUGCGAUAAGUAAUGUGAAUUGCAGAAUUCAGUGAAUCAUCGAAUCUUUGAACGCACAUUGCGCCCGCCAGCAUUCUGGCGGGCAUGCCUGUUCGAGCGUCAUUUCAACCCUCGACUUCCCUUUGGGGAAAUCGGCGUUGGGGACUGGCAGCAUACCGCCGGCCCCGAAAUGGAGUGGCGGCCCGUCCGCGGCGACCUCUGCGUAGUAAUCCAACCUCGCACCGGAACCCCGACGUGGCCACGCCGUAAAACACCCCACUUUCUGAACGUUGACCUCGGAUCAGGUAGGAAUACCCGCUGAACUUAAGCAUAUCAAUAAGCGGAGGA
rnacentral:misc_RNA from 1 species